rnacentral:rRNA from 1 species
UGCCAGCCGCCGCGGUAAUACGGAGGGUCCGAGCGUUAAUCGGAAUUACUGGGCGUAAAGCGUACGCAGGCGGCCUUAUAAGCCAGACGUGAAAUCCCCGGGCUCAACCUGGGAACUGCGUUUAAUACUAGCAAGCUAGAGUAAUAGAGAGGAAAGUGGAACUCCCAGUGUAGAGGUGAAAUUCGUAGAUAUUGGGAAGAACACCAGUGGCGAAAGCGACUUUCUGGCUAUUUUCUGACGCUGAGGAGCGAAAGCGUGGGGAGCAAACAGGAUUAGAUA